UAACAAAGUGAGAUAAAUAUAUGGCAAAACGCCUCCAGAAAUAGCAUUUAUUUGAAAUAGUGGACUCUGGCUGAGUUUGUUAUUUAAAUCAGUAAACUGCUGCUAAACUUGUGUUAUUGGUUAUUAAUUGCUAAUAAGUCACCUAAAGCCAUGUUUCAUAAGCUGGCUUUUUAGGUCAGAAGAGAUAGUUCAGCUUGUUCUUGACUUGAGUCACACUGCAUUUGCUUCAUCUACUUUUAAAGAGUCGAUUGAAUGUGCUAAGUUAAUUUGUUGGUGGUAAAGGGGGUGAUAAUGUGAAGACAGCAACAUAGCCAUUCUUCUCGCAUACUCCCUGUGUUGGACAAAUAAAGUAAUAAGUUUUAACAUUCAAAUCAGAAAAUGCUAAUGGAAACUAGGUUAGUUACCUGGUUGUAUGCAAAUAUGCUGACAUAAGUUCUCGACACUGGCAAAAUCAAACUGUUGAUAAUUUGAAACUGUAAUUCUGGCAAUCAGAACAACUGUAGAGCCCACGAACAUGUUCCAUUUCACUGAUAACUCAACAACCAGCAAUUGCAAGACUCCAUUUGUCUCGACAUAGCAUUCAGUUAAUUUCACUCUCUAUGUUGGUUCAUAACUUCAUCUAGAAGAGAAAAACAGUUGUGAAAUAAGUGAAGGCAACAGCAAUACUAAAUCAAUUUAAAAAAAAAUUUUCUAAUGCACGUAUCACUCGGAUAUUUGUUGCAAUAUUUAGAGAAGUGAUUGAAUUUGCAUGACGUGAAGAACUUUUACAGCAGUCAACACUUCAAAUACACAUAUGGCCAAAUCCUUUCAACUUAUCCAGUAGGCCACCAUAAUCAUAACCAAGGAAAACUCUCCAUACAAACAAAAACAAACGACGGAAUAAACGUCAGGUCAGCAACAAUAACACCUUCCAUUCCUUCCCCGAGAGCAUUUACAUAGAUAGAAAAAUUACAAACCAAGUUUUUAACUAUCGCCACUAGACGAUAAACAAGCUCCCGUGGCUUUACUUGGGUGGAGCCUAAAAAGAGGAAGGGAAGCCGAUUUGGCUUCAAGAAAAUGCUUAAUCCUUUUGGCUUCCUUAUAUAUAGUAGGCUAUGCUUAGAGUUAACUCGCUGAAGAUAUCCUGGGGCAAGAAUAGCCUUGAAUCCAGUACUGGAGAGAAGGAUUCAGCGAGAAAAAAGAGCUAACCAGCCUUUACCUACAAGAACCAUUGAUAAAUUGCUAGAUUUAAUGAAAACUAAUCCUGAAAGAAUUUAGCGGAAACAUAUGUGGACAUAAUUUUUUUAUUGAGCGACCCAUUCCAAAGAAGAUGACAACGUUUCAGGUGUCGGGUUGGUUUUUCUGCCGUUAAUGUUUCUUACCCAGCUUGGAAAAAUAAUUGCAAUGUAUCAACA